GAGAAUGUUGGUAGGUAGGAUAGUAGGGCCAUCAGUAAUUAAUGGAGAUUGAAGUAAGAAAACUUUGGGUGGAAAAGGGUUACAGGUUUUAAAGAAAAUAAAUUUGAAAGGAGCAUUAGUGAGAAGUUAAUAUAAGUAGAAAAUGAAAGAAAAAGUAGUUGCAGGGUGAUUUACGUGGUUAUCCAACAUGAGAGAAAAAAAAUGUAGAAAAUGAUAUACGUAAGAUAGUAUGUAUAUUUAUAUGUAUAUAAAUUAGUAGCAGAGAGUUACGUAACUUAAUAAUAAUAAUAUAAUAUAAUAUAUUAAAGUGUGGGUACUUGGUAGGUUCUCGUAAGUAACCUCAAUGAAAGUAAAUUUUGAUUGAGGCGUGGUCUCACUUCAAUAUUCACUUCAAUAUUUAUUGCAAUAUAAUAUAUUGUCUUUACGUUUUAACACGUAUUAGUGUAAGGGUAGUUUUCUUGGUGAUGGUAGAAUCACACGCAGAGUUUCGGGUUGGGCGUUAGAUACCUAUAAUUUUUUUUAGUACUCUUGUAAUUGUUUUUAGUUGUAUUAAAAGCAAAGUAAUAGCAUAAUCAUGAUAGAAAUUUAGUAUGUUACGGAUACUAUUUUAUUUAUAUAAAUUUAUGAAUGUGUUGGAUAUUUUGGUUAAUUGUUGUGGUGUUCGAUUAUUUUAAUGAAAUAAUUAUAUUGAGUUCUAGAAUUUUAAAUUAGUGAGUUAAUGUAUAAUACAUAUUAUUGAGAAUGUGUAUGGAUAUGUAAUAUAAAUAUGAAACUAUGUUAUUUUCUUGUACUGUCGUCGGUCAUGUUUGAGUUUUUCGUACUGCGCUACGAUAAGAAUGUGAUGUGUUGGACUCUCGUUUACGAGAUAGUGAUUCGAGUGUCACUUCCCUCUGCGCGUGGAGGUGGAUGUCUCGCCCAAAAGGCUUUUCGAAAGGUCGGGGAGAUAGGUCGGAAGUUGCGAUGGAAGACGACUCGAAUUGCCCUGUUGAGGAACAGGUACCUGUUAGUGAUAACAGGUCAUGACGACACAGUAUAAGAAAACGAUAUUGAUUCAUGAAUGGCUUAAAUGUGAUGAUGAUGUUGUGAUGAAAUAUGUUUAUAUGAUUAUAUUAUUUUUGUGAUUAAAAUGAAUAUGUUUUGUUGUGUGUUAUGAUAUUUCUGGUUGCUCACCCUGAAAGUUGUGGUUGUGGUUUCC
rnacentral:lncRNA from 1 species